GACGUAGGGGGCGAGCGUUGUCCGGAUUUAUUGGGCGUAAAGAGCUCGUAGGCGGCUCGUUGCGUCGGCUGUGAAAACCCGCAGCUCAACUGUGGGCUUGCAGCCGAUACGGGCGGGCUGGAGUUCGGUAGGGGAGACUGGAAUUCCCGGUGUAGCGGUGAAAUGCGCAGAUAUCGGGAGGAACACCGGUGGCGAAGGCGGUUCUCUGGGCCUUACCUGACGCUGAGGAGCGAAAGCGUGGGGAGCGAACAGG
rnacentral:rRNA from 1 species